ensembl:lncRNA
GUGGACGUAGCGUCUGGGACGUCACCCAUUGGUUAAUGCAAGAGUUCUAUGUGAAGUCUUCAUGUAUAUGGAGUGUCAGCACUUAGCUAAGACGUUAGCAGUCAACAACAGCCACCGUUUGUAACUGGCAGCACAGUUUAUUACAUUGAGGGUCGUUUUAUAAAUGCCUCACACUAGCCUAUGGCCGAAACGCAUUCGUAUUAACCUAAGCUUAUUAUUAAAAAACGUAAUAACAAUUUGAAUAUGUUUUGAAUAAUAAUUUAAUAAACAUAAUUGUCAACUAGGACCUCGGAAAACAGAUCCUAACAAACGAGGAAGACAAUCAUUGGCUGUGUAUUACAAGAAUGAAAUCCCAUUCCUUCCUGUCAAAUUAAAAUGAUGGUGGGUCUUUCUACGUCCUGAUCAAUACUGCAAAACACCUACAGGCCGUAAGAGGAACUUUAGCCUUCACCAGGGACCUCUAACAGGACAUCGGAGGAUACCUCUUUCAAGAUUUGGCCCAUCGCAGUCGAAGUACUUAUGGAUGGUUGGCUUCUCCGGUGGUUUUUCUUUUGGUGGUUUUGGGGGCGUUGGUGAUUGCCUGCAGAACCAUUCAUGGAAACUCCAUGGAACAGAAGGUCAAGAAUGAAGAUUAGAGCUCAUCCUAACACACACCCACACAAGCUGCCACUGCCCACUACGGGUCUCUAGCUACCUGCUACUGUUCGCUAUGUGUCUCUAGCUACCUGCUACUGCUCGCUAUGUGUCUCUAGCUACCUGCUACUGCUCGCUAUGUGACUCUUGCUAGCUGCUGCCCACUUUGUGCCUCUAACUAGCUGCUACUGCCAUCUAUGUGCCUCAAAUUAGCUUCUACUGUAUGUGCCUCUCACUAUCUUUCACUUCAACAGAUUUUCAUCAGGGUGGACAAAAUCAUUCGGAGGGACUAUAUAAGAUCACAUGAGAUGCUUAUAAUAUUAUAAAUGAAAUGGAAUAUAGUAAUACAUUAGGUAUCUGAUAUGAAUUACAAAACAGUUCGAUCCAACUACGCAUUGUGUUUGGUUGAGCACCUUACUAGCCACGCUAGUAUAAUUCUACAGGUCUGUGGAAGUCUGCAGGACACUACCAUUAUGGCCUUCUAUUUAGAUAACGCUGAAGCAAAGAAUCACAUUUUGUAACUUCUAACAUUUGCAAAUUUUUUGAGUUAAUUAUUGAAUAUUCAUUUGUUUACAUUGCAACAUGCGUUUGUUUAUUUAUUUAGAUGCAUUUCAUUUGCCUAAUUGCAUAUUCACAGGGUUAGUACUGUGGAGAUUUACAUUGCAAAAGAGUUCCUGUGGUUAAAGGACUACGUACCCAAGAUGCAUUGCACUGUACUAAGUGUAUGUGCUAAGUGACUAGAGUGAACAAGCGAUGCUUUGAAAGAUGUACAUGUGCGAGAUUGCUCAGUAAAGUUACCUGUCU